AUUGAACGCUGGCGGCAUGCUUUACACAUGCAAGUCGAACGGUAACAGGGAGCUUGCUCCGCUGACGAGUGGCGAACGGGUGAGUAAUGCGUCGGAACGUGCCGAGUAGUGGGGGCUAACGCAGCGAAAGUUGUGCUAAUACCGCAUACGUACUGAGGUAGAAAGUGAGGGACCUUCGGGCCUCACGCUAUUCGAGCGGCCGACGUCUGAUUAGCUAGUAGGUGAGGUAAAGGCUCACCUAGGCGACGAUCAGUAGCGGGUCUGAGAGGAUGAUCCGCCACACUGGGACUGAGACACGGCCCAGACUCCUACGGGAGGCAGCAGUGGGGAAUUUUGGACAAUGGGCGAAAGCCUGAUCCAGCCAUGCCGCGUGUCUGAAGAAGGCCUUCGGGUUGUAAAGGACUUUUGUCGGGGAGGAAAUCCCCAGCGCUAAUACCGCUGGGGGAUGACAGUACCUGAAGAAUAAGCACCGGCUAACUACGUGCCAGCAGCCGCGGUAACAC
rnacentral:rRNA from 1 species